CAAGUCGAACGGGUCUCUUCGGAGAUAGUGGCGGACGGGUGAGUAACGCGUGAGAAUCUGCCUUUCGGUUCGGGACAACCACUGGAAACGGUGGCUAAUACCGGAUAAGCCUACGGGUGAAAGAUUAAUUGCCGAAAGAGGAGCUCGCGUCUGAUUAGCUAGUUGGCGGGGUAAAAGCCUACCAAGGCGACGAUCAGUAGCUGGUCUGAGAGGAUGAUCAGCCACACUGGGACUGAGACACGGCCCAGACUCCUACGGGAGGCAGCAGUGGGGAAUUUUCCGCAAUGGGCGAAAGCCUGACGGAGCAAGACCGCGUGAGGGAAGAAGGCUCUUGGGUUGUAAACCUCUUUUCUCAGGGAAGAACAAAAUGACGGUACCUGAGGAAUCAGCAUCGGCUAACUCCGUGCCAGCAGCCGCGGUAAUACGGAGGAUGCAAGCGUUAUCCGGAAUGAUUGGGCGUAAAGCGUCCGUAGGUGGUCAUGCAAGUCUAUUGUCAAAGCACAAGGCUUAACCUUGUAAAGGCAGUGGAAACUGCAUUAACUCGAGUGCAGUAGGGGUAGAGGGAAUUCCCGGUGUAGCGGUGAAAUGCGUAGAGAUCGGGAAGAACACCAGUGGCGAAAGCGCUCUGCUGGACUGCAACUGACACUGAGGGACGAAAGCUAGGGGAGCGAAAGGGAUUAGCUACCCCUGUAGUCCUAGCCGUAAACGAUGGAUACUAGGUGUGGCCUGUAUCGACCCGGGCCGUGCCGUAGCUAACGCGUUAAGUAUCCCGCCUGGGGAGUACGCACGCAAGUGUGAAACUCAAAGGA
rnacentral:rRNA from 1 species